rnacentral:rRNA from 1 species
GAUUAACGCUGGCGGCGUGCCUAACACAUGCAAGUCGAACGAGGUAGCAAUACCUAGUGGCAGACGGGUGAGUAACGCGUGGUCAACCUACCGUUGAGUGGGGGAUAACUAGCCGAAAGGUUAGCUAAUACCGCAUACGUCUCCGAGGGGCAUCCCUUGGCGAUAAAAGGAGCAAUCCGCUCGAUGACGGGACCGCGCCCCAUUAGCUAGAUGGUGGGGUAACGGCCUACCAUGGCUCCGAUGGGUAGCUGGUUUGAGAGAGCGACCAGCCACACUGGGACUGAGAAACGGCCCAGACUCCUACGGGAGGCAGCAGUGAGGAAUUUUCCGCAAUGGGCGCAAGCCUGACGGGGCGACGCCGCGUGUGGGAAGAAGGCCUUAGGGUCGUAAACCACUGUCGAAGGGACGAUAAUGACGGUACCCUUGGAGGAAGCCCCGGCUAACUACGUGCC